CAGUUAAACUGAUGAUAUCAUCUAAUUCCAACUGUGUGUCCAAACAGACUGCAGAGUAACACGCCUACCACGGAAAUGUCAUCGAAAACACAGUGAGGACAAGUUGAAGAGAGCGCUAUGUUUGGUUGGCAAUGAGCAUUCCACCAUCAACAAGAAUACAGCAAGGAGAAUCAGCCACAGAACUUUGAUACGCCUAGCUCUACGAUACUAUCUGCGCUGAUAUUACAUGUCUUUGACUAAGACCUUGCGUCAGUUGUAGGCGGUGGAGAAAAAAAUGAAAUGUGAGAUUACCUCUGAAGUGUAUCUGUACCAGAGCUGCUUGGUUCAUGGGUUUGGCAGAAACACAGGGCGGGUGUCGUCGAUUAAGCAGACGAAGGUUGCCAUUCCGGAGCAGUUUUCUUUCCAACGUAAUUUUUUCAAGAGUCCCCAAGGAUUUGUGUCAGUGGAGCUAAACUUUCGCUUAUGACCAAGUCCUACAUCGAACACACGGUUAGUUCUAGGAGGAAGUCCCCAGUUGACUGUCCACGAUGAAACCGAUGUACAUACUAGUGACGACUGUGUGGAUUAUGAUGACGUUAAUGGCGCUGUCGUUUUACAUCAAUAAGAUAUACAAAUCCGAUGACCCCUCUUCUAAGAAUCACAGCAGUACACGAAAAAUAGCACCAGAUGUGGACCUAGAGAAGACACAGACAGAACAGAUACAUGAAUCCAAUUCUAUUCUAUCUCGUGGACUAGAUGAAUUACAGAGAGAAGAAAUAGAUCCUGCAGACGUGACCCAGGAGGACUUCAUGAUUUUACAGAUACGUGCAUUCAGUGCUAUUAUAUCAAACAGACUAGAUAAAUUGCAGAGAGAAGUAGAUGACUCGGGAUGACCAGAAGUUAAGACAGUAACAUAAAAAAUCGAGUAUACAUCCCUUGGAUCAGAUAUCAGGAGUUGGAGCAAUAGGUGAAGUGUUUUGUAUUGACAUAUAGAUGAUCACAUGUAUAGGAUGACACAGAAGAUAUAUAUAUAUAUAUGUGUGUGUACAAUCAGCAAAUUGAUCUUCAUUCAAGUCUCUGACAUGGAUUAAACUUAAUCUUCUGGAGGAACAAUUGUCAGAGGCGUUAUCAGUAUAUGUAUUUGUUGAUCUCAAACUAUUUAAUUCGGAUUACAAAAUCUUGUAUGACGCAGAUGAGGUCAUUGUUGGAUCCAGAGAAUUCCAUAUUUACAUUAUAUCUGGGGAAGUACUGAGCCAUCAUUUUCAGAACGAAGGGUAUUAAGAAAUCUGCGCUCUCUUUGAUUAUAUGAAAUAGAGCUCCAUAACUGAUAUUAGGUUAAAUAUCAUUUAAAUA